GGAGAGGUGCAUGAGUGGCUUAAAUGGACGGUUUGCUAAACCGUUGUACCGUGUUAAAGCGGUACCGAGGGUUCGAAUCCCUCCCUCUCCG
rnacentral:tRNA from 1 species